CCUACGGGAGGCAGCAGUGGGGAAUAUUGGACAAUGGGCGAAAGCCUGAUCCAGCAAUGCCGCGUGAGUGAUGAAGGCCUUAGGGUUGUAAAGCUCUUUUACCAGGGAUGAUAAUGACAGUACCUGGAGAAUAAGCUCCGGCUAACUCCGUGCCAGCAGCCGCGGUAAUACGGAGGGAGCUAGCGUUGUUCGGAAUUACUGGGCGUAAAGCGCGCGUAGGCGGCUUUUUAAGUCAGGGGUGAAAUCCCGGAGCUCAACUCCGGAACUGCCCUUGAAACUGGGAAGCUAGAAUAUUGGAGAGGUAAGUGGAAUUCCGAGUGUAGAGGUGAAAUUCGUAGAUAUUCGGAAGAACACCAGUGGCGAAGGCGACUUACUGGACAAUUAUUGACGCUGAGGUGCGAAAGCGUGGGGAGCAGACAGGAUUAGAUACCCUGGUAGUCCACGCCGUAAACGAUGAUAACUAGCUGUCCGGGCUCAUAGAGCUUGGGUGGCGCAGCUAACGCAUUAAGUUAUCCGCCUGGGGAGUACGGUCGCAAGAUUAAAACUCAAAGGAAUUGACGG
rnacentral:rRNA from 1 species